GAACAGAUAAGGAGCUUGCUCCUUUGACGUUAGCGGCGGACGGGUGAGUAACACGUGGGUAACCUACCUAUAAGACUGGGAUAACUUCGGGAAACCGGAGCUAAUACCGGAUAACAUUUGGAACCGCAUGGUUCUAAAGUGAAAGAUGGUUUUGCUAUCACUUAUAGAUGGACCCGCGCCGUAUUAGCUAGUUGGUAAGGUAACGGCUUACCAAGGCGACGAUACGUAGCCGACCUGAGAGGGUGAUCGGCCACACUGGAACUGAGACACGGUCCAGACUCCUACGGGAGGCAGCAGUAGGGAAUCUUCCGCAAUGGGCGAAAGCCUGACGGAGCAACGCCGCGUGAGUGAUGAAGGGUUUCGGCUCGUAAAACUCUGUUAUUAGGGAAGAACAAAUGUGUAAGUAACUGUGCACAUCUUGACGGUACCUAAUCAGAAAGCCACGGCUAACUACGUGCCAGCAGCCGCGGUAAUACGUAGGUGGCAAGCGUUAUCCGGAAUUAUUGGGCGUAAAGCGCGCGUAGGCGGUUUCUUAAGUCUGAUGUGAAAGCCCACGGCUCAACCGUGGAGGGUCAUUGGAAACUGGGAAACUUGAGUGCAGAAGAGGAAAGUGGAAUUCCAUGUGUAGCGGUGAAAUGCGCAGAGAUAUGGAGGAACACCAGUGGCGAAGGCGACUUUCUGGUCUGUAACUGACGCUGAUGUGCGAAAGCGUGGGGAUCAAACAGGAUUAGAUACCCUGGUAGUCCACGCCGUAAACGAUGAGUGCUAAGUGUUAGGGGGUUUCCGCCCCUUAGUGCUGCAGCUAACGCAUUAAGCACUCCGCCUGGGGAGUACGACCGCAAGGUUGAAACUCAAAGGAAUUGACGGGGACCCGCACAAGCGGUGGAGCAUGUGGUUUAAUUCGAAGCAACGCGAAGAACCUUACCAAAUCUUGACAUCCUUUGAAAACUCUAGAGAUAGAGCCUUCCCCUUCGGGGGACAAAGUGACAGGUGGUGCAUGGUUGUCGUCAGCUCGUGUCGUGAGAUGUUGGGUUAAGUCCCGCAACGAGCGCAACCCUUAAGCUUAGUUGCCAUCAUUAAGUUGGGCACUCUAGGUUGACUGCCGGUGACAAACCGGAGGAAGGUGGGGAUGACGUCAAAUCAUCAUGCCCCUUAUGAUUUGGGCUACACACGUGCUACAAUGGACAAUACAAAGGGCAGCUAAACCGCGAGGUCAUGCAAAUCCCAUAAAGUUGUUCUCAGUUCGGAUUGUAGUCUGCAACUCGACUACAUGAAGCUGGAAUCGCUAGUAAUCGUAGAUCAGCAUGCUACGGUGAAUACGUUCCCGGGUCUUGUACACACCGCCCGUCACACCACGAGAGUUUGUAACACCCGAAGCCGGUGGAG
rnacentral:rRNA from 1 species